GGAAGAGCUAAAGAGAAACUCCGAAGAAGGAGGAGAAGAAAGGAAUAGGGGCGAUGAAAGAAAAGUGGAAAAGGGAGAGCAGGCGGAGGAAGACAAAGUUCUUUGCAGAAGAUAGGUGUCUACAGCAUCUGUUGUGAAGAACCAAGAAGUAGUCGGUCUUGUCUAGUAAAAUAAACUGGGAGAGGAAACAAGAUCUCAUUAAGCCCUGCACAUUCACUGGGUGACAGGAGAACUUCUGGAGAUGGUUGGAGCCCACAGCUCCAUGGUUGAAUUUAUAGCUAGCAGGACUGCACUACGUCUCCUUGUGUGCUGUGGGAAUACUCAGAGGAGGACAUUAAAGUUUAUCACUGAAGUUCAGGUGCCAGGCUGUGAGAGAGAAAACCACCGAGUCACCUACAUCAUCCCUUGCCCAGACAGACCAUCCUUUGAAAAAUCUUCUUGCCUGCUCGAUCUGUUUUGAGCCCAAAAGCUGCGUACCGAAGAGGCACUCCGGGGACUGUUUACACAUUUACCCAAUAAUUAGUUCUUAGACACAUUAAUUCAAGGGUAGACACUUCCUCUGAGAAAUUAUUCCACAGCUGAAGGUCCUCCCACAGCUGGAUGAGGCAGGCUGAGCAUGCAGGCCUGGAGAUGUUAGAGUCCAUUGGCCAGAGGUUGGGGGGAGCAGUGCCUGAGGGGACCUCUGCCACCAUCCGCUUGCUUCAAGACCCGGUCCAUGGUAGUUUGAGGAGGUCCAGGGGGUACAGGGAGCCGCGGUGGUGCCUUGGCUGAUGUUUCUCAGCAGUGAUAGCCCUCCCACGCAGCCCCGCCGGGGCAGACCGAGAGAUGCCACUGCUGAUAGACCUCUGCAGCUUACCACAACAACCUGUUUGCCCAGAAGGACAGACGAGAUCACCCACAGCUCGGUGGGAAAGUGUCCGGGACUGCUCCGGCACGAAGAGCCUCCGCAUACACCCCUGGGACACGUACCGGGGGUGGCAAAGGGGCUGCAAGUGAAAUGCAGCUCUGCUGCUCAGCCACUCGCAUCCAGGUCAGACCAGUUGAUUGGAGGGCAACAUCCCUUUCCUGCACCACGGUGUAUGGAACACAGUGUAUCAUAGAAUCACAGAAUAUCCUGAGUUGGAAGGGACACACAAGGAUCAUCGAGUCCAACUCCUGUCCCUGCACAGGACAACCCCACAGUUCACACCGUGUGUCUGAGGGUGUUGUCCAGUCUCUUCUUGAACACUGUCAGGCUUGGGGCCGUGACACCUCCCUGGGGAGCCUGUUCAGUGUCCAGCACCCUCUGGGUGAAGAACCUUUCCCUGAUGUCCAACCUUAACCUCUUCUGGCACAUCUUGCUGCCAUUCCCUCGGGUUCUGUCGUUGGUCACUAAAGAGAAGAGCUCAGCCCUGCCCCUCCUCCUCCCCUUGUGAGGAGCUGGAGCCGCCAUGAGCUCUCCCCUCAGUCUCCUCCAAGCUGAACAAACCAAGUGACUUUAGCUGCUCCUCACACGGCUUCCCCUCCAAACCCUUCACCAACUUCGUGUCACUCCUCAGAACACUCUCCAGUAGCUUUAUCUCCUUUUUAUCCCGUGUCCCCAGCCCUGCACACAGUGAAUGCUCCAGGUGCAGAGCAGAGCUGGACAAUCCCCUCCCUGCCCAGCUGGCCGUGCUGUGCUGGAUGCACCCAGGACACCGGUGGCCCUCUUGGCUGUUAGGGACACUGUUGGCUCAUGUAGACCAUGUGUCCAACAACUCUUUACCAUGAGUGGAAAAAUUAGGCCUUUAUUGAUUGUGAGGAGUCACAAGAGAACUGAUAGCUCAGGAAAACCAACCUCAUCUUGCUGCUGCUGCUCAAGUGAAGGUAAGGCCACAGUCAGGAUCCUCAUUCACACAAAUGAUACUGGGAAGUGUGACUUACGGUAUGAGAAAUGUGUGAGUAAGAGUUUGCUGACUAACCCCUAGUUAAAGGAAAUAAAUUGAUUUAUUGUAUGAGCAUGACAAAUUGAGGCACCGGUCCUGCAGGUUGGGCUGUGUGAGCAGAUCUGUGUGUCCACGUGGCUCUGAUAGGGCCCGGCGAGGCUGAGAACUGGGUGGUGGAGUUGCCAAACCGGCAAUACAGCUGGCUCCAGAAGAAAAGUUUGGAAAGUUUUGUGUUUCUGUUUUUCUGACGUGCCUGAGAUCUGGGUGGGAGCCACAGGACCUGCAGCACCUACGCUGAAGCACAAGGACAGACUUUGCUGCUUUGUCAGCAAGGCAGCCUUCCCCAGCGUGUGUGCUGGGAAGAAAGCACAGCCUUUGCUGGUUUUAAACAAAACCAAAUUGCUUUUAGGACCUUGGAUCUGACAAGGGGAGUGUCACUAUGUGUCCAACACAAACAAAAAACUGAGCUGAGCCAAAGCAGCCCAGCGCUUGUCUCCCAUUCCCUGGCUGUAACCACAAGAGACUCCCCUUGGCUUGUGUGAGAGUGGGAGGGAAUGCAAUCACUGAACAAAAAAAGUCAUUUCUACUUGGUAGUUUAACAUUACGUAGGCAGCAGUUAUACUUUUUUACUGAUCAUACUUUUCUACUCUAUGGGGUCUUAAACUGGCCCAUCCUUGUAGUAGAGAAAAUGAAACUGAGACAGGAAAAAUGCAGCCACUCUUUUUCCAGAUUAUUAUAUUUUGUUGAUUUUUUAAAUUAUUUUUUCUGACUGAAACACUUAUACCAAAAAGACUAGUGUGCUGUUAAGCCAGCAAUUAAGCCAUUGACUGAUGUCUUUGAUGGGAAAGGGCUACAUGUGAUCAGGGCAUGGAGAGUAUCGGGGACUGGCAAGAGAUGAUGUUUAGAUGAUGGAUUUGGAUCCAGAAGAAGGUGGAAGUGAGUGCGGGUCAUCGCAGGCUGGUAAGGGGACACCGGCCGCUGUGCGGGGAGCCUGUGGAUACCACUACGGGCCUCUGAAUCACACUGUGAGGUGACGGUGACUGUCAGCACGGCCCGUCUGCCUUCUCCAGACAUCGUCACCUGGCUCUGGGUGUGCGUGCGCUUCCCUGACCACUGCAAUGAUUUCUUCAUGCCCCAUGUUCUGAGUAUUUUGGGAAAGAAGAAGGAGCAAGGAAGCCAGCCAUGCAUGAUGAUUGUGCAGUCCAUGAUGGGUUCUGACUUUCCAGUUGGAGGAAUAACGGACAACUGGUAAGAAUCUGGUUCAGUUACAUGUGUUCUGGCAGAUGCAGCUGGAGAAAAGGUUUAGGUAUAGCUGGGUCUGACUUUGUGAAGAUGUAUGCACACCCUUAACUUUAAAGAUAUAAAUUUCCCCAUUGACUUCCCUGGAACUCUUCAUGCAUUAAACAUACACAUGAGCCUUUCUAGAAAUAGGGAAUAUAAAUGAGACUACCAAAAUAGUUAAACAGAAAUACUUUCUGUACAAUGGAAGGGCAAAAUGUAAAAAAGGGGCGUGCACAUAGGAGCUCUUGGGAACAGAUAAAGCCUACGCCACAUUGUUUCUUAUGACCGAGAGGGUGUUUCCAACUACCCAUACUGCAGACUAGAGUGUCGUUUGCAUUUGUGACAUUAAUUAAGCAAUUCAUUGGAAUUUAGCAUGUGGCAGGUUGGCAGGAGGGAACUUCAACUCGGUUGUGCGACUGAGGUCCUUUCAUUGUGUUGACAGCCCUGUCACGCCAACAGAGCAGCGCUCUGGGUAACGCAUUUCUGCUGGUGGCUUCUGAGCAAAGUCAAACAAUGCCAGCAGGGCCUGACAAAGAGAAUUGAUAAACAUGAACAAGAUCUACAUUACUUAAGCAGUCUGUUGUGGGCAAGAUAUCCAGAGUCUGGUGAUAAGUAACAAGUUAUCAGUCAAGGAGUAGCUUCUCUGGACUACUAAGACUUCUUCUAUUAGUUAUGAGCCUCUAAUUAUUAUUAUUUUUUAUAUAUAUUCACAUGGGAAAUGUUUCUGUUUUUAUAGUCUACAACUGCUUCUUCACAUUGUUUCAAGUCUGUUUUUCUUGAUAGGUUUAUUGUUUAGUUUAUCCCAUAGUGAUUAGCAUUAAAAUCUAAAGUUUGUUUGAGAGUUA